CCCUUAGAUGUUCUGGGCCGCACGCGCGCUACACUGAUUCAUGCAACAAGUUUUGUCCUUGGCUGAUAGGCCUGGGUAAUCUUUGAACGUGAAUCGUGAUGGGGAUAGAUGAUUGUAAUUAUUCAUCUUCAACGAGGAAUUCCUAGUAAACGCAAGUCAUCAGCUUGCAUUGAUUACGUCCCUGCCCUUUGUACACACCGCCCGUCGCACCUACCGAUUGAAUGGUCCGGUGAAAUCUUCGGAUCUGAGAGAUGUCUGAUUAAUUUCGGACGCCUUUUGGAAAAGUUGUUUAAACCUUACCAUUUAGAGGAAGGUGAAGUCGUAACA
rnacentral:rRNA from 1 species